CUCCGGUUGAUCCUGCCGGACCCGACUGCUAUCAGAGUGGGACUAAGCCAUGCGAGUCAACAUAGCAAUAUGUGGCAUACGGCUCAGUAACACGUAGUCAACAUGCCCAGGGGACGUGGAUAACCUCGGGAAACUGAGGAUAAACCGCGAUAGGUCAUCACUUCUGGAAUGGGUAAUGACUUAAAUCUAUAUGGCCCCUGGAUUGGACUGCGGCCGAUCAGGCUGUUGGUGAGGUAAUGGCCCACCAAACCUGUAACCGGUACGGGCUCUGAGAGGAGGAGCCCGGAGAUGGGCACUGAGACAAGGGCCCAGGCCCUAUGGGGCGCAGCAGGCGCGAAACCUCUGCAAUAGGCGAAAGCUUGACAGGGUUACUCUGAGUGAUUUCCGUUAAGGAGAUCUUUUGGCACCUCUAAAAAUGGUGCAGAAUAAGGGGUGGGCAAGUCUGGUGUCAGCCGCCGCGGUAAUACCAGCACCCCGAGUGGUCGGGACGUUUAUUGGGCCUAAAGCAUCCGUAGCCGGUUCUACAAGUCUUCCGUUAAAUCCACCUGCUUAACAGAUGGGCUGCGGAAGAUACUAUAGAGCUAGGAGGCGGGAGAGGCAAGCGGUACUCGAUGGGUAGGGGUAAAAUCCGUUGAUCCAUUGAAGACCACCAGUGGCGAAGGCGGCUUGCCAGAACGCGCUCGACGGUGAGGGAUGAAAGCUGGGGGAGCAAACCGGAUUAGAUACCCGGGUAGUCCCAGCUGUAAACGAUGCAGACUCGGUGAUGAGUUGGCUUAUUGCUAACUCAGUGCCGCAGGGAAGCCGUUAAGUUUACCGCCUGGGGAGUACGGUCGCAAGACUGAAACUUAAAGGAAUUGGCGGGGGAGCA
rnacentral:rRNA from 1 species